UGAAUCUUCCCAAGACGACUCUGAUGACAAGGAGCACCUGAUUAACUUGUCUGAACAGAAAGCGGCUUAAGGUCUCUGUGGCUGACUUCGGUGACAAAUGGGAGACUCUUCACCUUAAGGAAUCGGGAAGCAGGAGCAGCAGCGAUUGCUGUAAACAAGUAUGUAGAUGAGCCUCACAGAUAUACUUCCAUAAUGUCAGUGACAAUAGAACAGGCACCAGUUCUUCUCAUUUCCAAACAAAGUUGCAUUGAAUAUAGUACAGUGGUACCUCGGGUUACAUAUGCUUCAUGUUACAUACGCUUCAGGUUACAGACUCUGCUAACCCAGAAAUAGUGCUUCAGGUUAAGAACUUUGCUUCAGGAUAAGAACAGAAAUCGUGCCCCAGCGGCGCGGCGGCAGCAGGAGGCCCCAUUAGCUAAAGUGGUGCUUCAGGUUAAGAACAGUUUCAGGUUAAGAACGGACCUCCAGAAUGAAUUAAGUACUUAACCUGAGGUACCACUGUAUAACUAACUCUCCCAGGAAGAAAAAUGCCUCCUCAUGUGUUCUUGACAGUGGAUUGAACAGCAGAAAUCAGCUGGAAAUGAAACAGUUUUGGAAUCAAUGUUUUUUUUUACCUGCUAAUGUCUGUAGAUCAAGCCAUUCUAAAAAAGGACACAGUUAACAGUGGCAGACUGAAAAGUUAGCAAUGAAAGUUGCACUAGUUCUUCUGUAGGGGUGGGGGAGAAAUUCAAUUCAGUUCCCAUUCAGAAGUGAGGCUACCCAAUCUUCACAUUCUGAAACGAUAGGUGAACUGAAACACAGCCACCCUUUGAACUUUGCACUUUUCUGAAUUUUGUAAUGCAGUACUCUAGCAAAAGAAUGUAUGUAAAAAUGCAUACACCAGGGUAAAGAGUACAUAAACAUACAUUAUGGUAUGGAAAUAUUAGGGGAAAUAUGCUUUGCUAAAAUAUUUACAUUAGGCAAAGAUGCAUGCUAAUUAAGUAUAUUGGGAGAAAUUCACACUAAAAUGCUAAUAAUUUUCACAAGGCUUUUUAAAAUAAAAUAAAAUAAAAUUGCAAAGUGAUGUGGAUAUGUGGAGAACUAAAGAGUUGGGCAAGUCUGUCAAUUUCUAUUUCUCUCUCUUAUCAGUUUUCGACAGACUUGCCAUCUCUACUCUUCAGUCAAAAUAACAAAGAAGCAUUGUUCCAUGUAAAAAAUUCUUUUAAAUGUCCAACUUUAAAAGUUUAUCCCAUGUUUUACUUCUGCUGAAAGUUAGACAGCAAGCAAUUAGAGGUGAUGAGGGAGUAGUAGUAGUAGUAGUAGUAGUAAUAAUAAUAAUAAUAAUAAUUUUUUACAUAAUUCUAAGAUGUUUACAAGUAUAAAAGCCAACAGCAUAAACAUCAAAAUUAAAAUACCACCCAUAAAAAUAUAUAGUAAAACAAUAGCAUUAAAAUCGUAUGUUGAGUACCACUCCUGUGCCUUUGCAGUCCAUCAUGCUGACCUCCUCCUUGAAUAGAGCUAAGUAGUAGGAGCUUCACCUCCUAAAAUCCUGUGUGCCCACUUGGUGUUAGAUAGGCCAGUGUAGAAGAGAGAGUUGCAGCUGGGUACACUUGCCCCAGGUCUUGGAGGGCUAAUCUGGUUAGAAGGCCCUGCCAGGGACAGACUGCUUUUUUGUUUGAGUUUAUAACUUUAUUCUAAAAAGACAUCUACUCUGGGUCUCCAACAAGCUCUGCACGGUCCUGCUAUUAGAAGCACAGGAGACUGGGCCAGUAAGAAACGGAUGUGUCUGUAUGCAGAAUAAGUAAGAGAUCGGAUUCUUGUUACAUUUGGAGUUUGCAACCGCUUCCUGCUAAUAAUGUGGCUCAAAUGUGGAGAGCUGAUUGUCCACUCUCAGGACCUGAUUGCAAGAGCUAAAUGGCGAGGCAGAAGCCCGAAGAGAAGAGCAGUGUGCCGUUUGCGGGGAAUGCUUGCCAGUGAUGGGAUAAAUGGGUCCCACUCAGAACACAAUCACCUUGGCUGGCCAGACAUUUAAGGGUCCUCUGGUGCUCUCAAAAGCAGGUUGGUUUCAGAGAAGAAGUAACUUCUGCGGGGAGCAUUUAGGAAUUAAUGGAUGAUGCAAGUAGGUGGCUCACCCACCUGCCAGGCUUAAUGUGGCUCAUGCUGGUAAGCUUGCGCAUUCUCUCUUAGUAUAAAGUAGCUCUCAUUUUCUACAGCUGUUGUGCCGGGAAUCGGACAACCAAGCUAACCAUGCAGAAGAAUGUAAGAGUAAGAGUAGUCAACAUGGUGCCCUCCAGAUGUUUUUGACUAAAACCACCAUCAUCCCUUAGGAAGCGGGUGGCACUGUGGAUUAAACCACAGAGCCUAGGACCUGCCGAUCAGAAGGUCAGCGGUUCGAAUCCCCGCAACGGGGUGAGCUCCUAUUGCUCGGUCCCUGCUCCUGCCAACCUAGCAGUUCGAAAGCACAUCAAAGUGCAAGUAGAUAAAUAGGUACUGCUCCGGAGGGAAGGUAAAUGGCGUUUCCGUGUGCUGCUCUGGUUCAUGCUGGCCACAUGACCCGGAAGCUGUACGCCGGCUCCCUCGGCCAAUAAAGCGAGAUGAGCGCCGCAUCCCCAGUCGGUCACGACUGGACCUAAUGGUCAGGGGUCCCUUUACCUUUACCUUACCAUCAUCCCUGGCUUUUUGCCAUGCUGGCUGGGACUGAUGUUAUACUCCUCAACAUCUAAAGGGCACCACUUUGGCUACACCUGAUAUACACUUGCUAUGAUUUUUCAUAGUAGAGGAAAGAAGGCUAUCUUUAGAAAAAGAAGUUUUGUCAAAAUAAGGGGAACGAAAGGAUCACCAACUUGCACUUCUCCCCUUAAGAUUCCCACUGGCCCUUGGAGGGCUUGGGAGUCCUGACAACACUUGAGCAUCUGUACCAAUGUCACCUUCCCAUGACCUUGUCUAUUUUUCUGUCUGGCAAGGCCAGGGGAGUAGUCAUAAUGAACAGUGGGCUGCAAAGCGUUGGGGUGGCCUAGAUGGUCCCAUACUAUGCUGCUCAGCACUUAAAGUGCAAAGUCAGUGUCUUAUGAGCAGGGACGUAGCGUGGGCUGCCAGCAACCGGGGCCAUAUGGAAGGUGGGUGGUAGGGAGGGAAAUAGACAGAGUAUGCAUGCACAUUCAACUGCCUUACGGCAUCUGCAUCACCCAGGAGAUUGCAGCUGCAUAGAUAUGAAAAGAAGAGAUGUUCUGUUGUUUGGAGAAGUCACUUCCUGGUUUGCAUGGAAAAGCCAUUUUCAAUGGAUCCAAGUGAUGGAAGCAUGCAGCUGUAUUGAGACAGAACUGUAUCGAGACAGCAAUUUUGUGCCCGGGCAACUGCCCCUGUGGUCUCCCCCAUGCCACGCCACUGCUUAAAGUCAUGUGGGGACCCAGGUGGCACUGUCUCUAAAGGAUUUAUGGCCUCAUGUCUCCCACUCCUUACAUCACUUGGCCUUUCUAUAAAAAAUGCUAACUCUAGCAAGUUGUGAUUAACUCUUGCAGAGCUCUACUCUAUUUUAACCACCAGGAAGUGCUAUCUAUGUCCAGGUCUGUGCCUGGGCACCUUUGAAGACAUCCCAAGUGGAAAUUUGCAGAGCAUUACACCUAACUCUUCAUAAUACAAUGGUAUUCUGAAUAUGUCCCAAUACAGGCCCUCAAUUCCACUUUAGCUAGAAUUCAGCAGUUAUCCUUAAUGGAACUGGGGGUUUUCAGUUUCAGUGGCUAAGGAGCCAGUAGUUCUGAUCCUGUUCUUUGGUGUCUAUGCUGCCAAGUGGUAAAGUUGACUAAAGCUGGAAAGAUUCAGCUCCAGCUUCCACAAGCACUUCCAAAUUAACUAGAAUUCACAGCAAGAAGAGGGGGAGAAAGGAAACACAGUAUUUUAUUUAGCGCCCGUAAUAAAAGUGUCUAUUUUAAUAAAAAUCAAUGACGACUUAAAAUACACAAUAAAUGUUGCAACAUUAAUAAAACAUGCUACACAUUAAAUCAGUUUACUGUGCGACUCAGGCUUCUAUUUACAGCCUGCAUUUCAGGCUUGAUCAUGCUUCCAGCCGAGAGUGAAAUGGUCUAAAACAGCUGUCAGAGGGAAUAAAAUUAAUACAGUUGCAGUGCAAAUAAAAGCCGGUGAAAUCCUGAAGGGAGGCCUCCUUCCAAGCUCAGAAUCUGCUCCCAGACACAGUGAGCGUGAAGCGAUUGGCUGUGACUCGAUGGUUCUAAUUUAAAUUUCUACGGCAAUUCUUGCAAGGCUGAAAGACGAAACAACUUACGUUGAGGUCAACCCCUACCCAGUCAGGGAAACUGCUUUCUUUUUUGGCCCCUGCCCCGGGGUAGCCACUUACACACUGUCUGAAAAGAUGAAAUGCACCACACCCUCCUUGAUUUGCAUAAAAUGAGCAUGUAUAGAAGCAAUUACUAUAAUUUAAAUAGACAUGCAAUGCAUUUCCACCUGAGUAGGGCGGAGUGUGACCUGGUAAUCUGCGUGUCUGGUCAGUGGAAGGUUAUUCCUGCUGUUUGGGUAAAGGCUGUAGCUCAGUGGCAGACCAUCUUAUUUACAUGGCAACACACGUUUGGAGUGUCGUUUUUGGCAAUUUUCCUUAAAAAUAGCUCAAAAACUACUUAAUUUUUCCUUUUUUGCAAAUCUGCCAUAAAAGCUCAACAACUUUGCCAUAUCUCACCAUUUGAAAUACAGUGGUGCCUCGCAAGACGAAAUUAAUCCGUUCCACGAGAGUCUUCGUCUAGCGGUUUUUUCGUCUUGCGAAGCAAGCCCAUUGACGGAUUAGCGCUAUUAGCGCUAUUAGCGGUUUAGCGGCUAUUAAAGGCUUAAAGGCUUAGGGGAUUAGCUGCUAAAAGGCUAUUAAAGGCUAUUAAAGGCUUAGCAGAUUAGAUAAAGGGGGGGGAAAGCGAAAAAAAAACCUCAAGACUCGCAAGGUAUUUUCGUCUUGCGAAGCAAGCCCAUAGGGGAAUUCGUCCUGCGAAGCAACUUCAAAACGGAAAACCCUUUCGUCUAGCGGUUUUUCCGUCUUGCGAGGCAUUCGUCUUGCGGGGCACCACUGUAUGGCAACCCUAGGACUGAGUGGUCUUGCAGGUGCUGCUAGACUACAACUCCCAUAAUCCUUGACCAUUUGCAACAAACAGGCUCCCAGAUGUAAAAAGAAGUGGUUCUGGUUUUGUCCAGAAGAGGGCAGUAGUAAAUAACCCGGAACUUCAUUCAUGGAACAUUGCUGUUUUUGGGCAAAAAAACAGAGAGGGUCUUUCUUUCAAACAAGCACAUAUACAUGUUGCUAAUUUUAAUGACUGCAGCAUUUUCCCCACUGCAAAGUGGCUGCAUGGGACAAGUGUUUUUGUCUUUCUCUCCCUUGGCUCGGUCUAUCUUGCGUCCCCUGUGCAGGAGCACGUUGAGGCUUGCAACACAGAUGUGGCUGCACUGUGUCAAACACAAUGUAAACACGAUAUAAACCCUCUGGCUAAUAGAUAACGGCUGCAGAUUCAUGAUAACAAUCAUCCACCUCAGCCAUCCCUGAGCAUGUUAACAAGGUCAGCUGAGCGACAAUCUUUCUUUGGCGUGUUUUCCAUCCUCUAAAUCUCUGGUGGGGAGCCUUUUUUCAGCCUGAGGUCCAGUUUCCCUUCUGGGAAAACAUCCAAGGGCCACAUGCCAGGGGUGGGCAGGGACAGAGGCAAAAGUUGGCAGAACAAUGACCUUUGUACGGUCGGCUAGUUUCUGCACAGACACACUUCCUCCUCUCUAUCCUCCAUUUAGGCAAGCAAGAAGCAUUGCCAGAGUUCAAGGACGCAGCCCAGCCAGGCAAAAUCACUCGAGGAAUAUUGAAAGUGACUUGGGGAGAGGGGGUGUGGUAUGGGGAAAGUCCUGAGGACUAGAUAGGGAGGCCUGUUGGAGAUUAUGUAUAGUGACUGGGAAAUGUGCACAAUUCACUCUUCACGGGCAGAUUAUGUGCACAUUCUCCACGAGUUUUGGUGAAUAUGCAUAAUGGCUGGUUGCUUUUCAGUUUAACCGCUCAAGUUGCAUUUUCCCACACCUGUUCAUGUUGAAAGGAGCUUUAAUCUAAGGGACAUCAGAGAGAGUUACAUCAGGGGAAAAAAGAAGGCAGAGGCAAGGUUAUGUUCUACUGUUGUGGAUUUUACUAUUAUCUAUUUAUGACAAAUAUUUGAAACCUGGCCUUCGUCUCUGCAGAUACCAGGGUGGGGUAGAGAACAUAAAUUAGAACCAAACAACCAAACACAUAAAAUAAACAAUGAGCACACCGUCUAAUGUAAGUAAAAGUGACUACAGGCUACAAACAUUUGGUGAGUGCAUUCAUUUCAAGGCUUCCUAAUUUAUAGGACGUUUUGUUUUCUUUUUUGGGGUGGGGGGUGGGGGAAGCUUUGCACUUUGAGAGUUGAAUUUCUCCCUGUUCUCUUCCUGGCAGGAUUCAAAGUACUGAUUAUAAACUACAAAGCCCUAGUUGGCUUCGGCC